rnacentral:miRNA from 1 species
CGCGCCGUUCUCCUCCCGCAG